ACCCCUGUGAGAAUGCCCUACAGUUCCCUGCUUGGGAACAAGGAGCUGGUAUCAGGCACAACCCGCCCCAAAGCCCAUGACACCUUGCUUAGCCACACCCUCAAGGGAACUCAGCAGUGAUAGACAUUAAGCCAUAAGUGAAAGCUUGACUUAGUUAAAGCUAAGAGGGUCGGUAAAACUCGUGCCAGCCACCGCGGUUAUACGAGAGACCCAAGUUGUUAGACACCGGCGUAAAGAGUGGUUAAGACUUAACUCAAAACUAAAGCCGAACGCCCUCAGAGCUGUUAUACGCACCCGAAGGUAAGAAGCCCAACCACGAAAGUGGCUUUACGCCAUCCGAGUCCACGAAAGCUAUGAUACAAACUGGGAUUAGAUACCCCACUAUGCCUAGCCAUAAACAUUGAUAGAAAACUACACCCACUAUCCGCCCGGGAACUACGAGCAUCAGCUUGAAACCCAAAGGACUUGGCGGUGCUUUAGAUCCACCUAGAGGAGCCUGUUCUAGAACCGAUUACCCCCGUUCAACCUCACCUUUCCUUGUUUUUCCCGCCUAUAUACCACCGUCGUCAGCUUACCCUAUGAAGGACUUAUAGUAAGCAAGAUUGGCACAGCCCAAAACGUCAGGUCGAGGUGUAGCGUAUGGAAAGGGAAGAAAUGGGCUACAUUCCCUAAUAUAGUGAAAUACGAACGAUACACUGAAAUACGUAUCUGAAGGAGGAUUUAGCAGUAAGCAGAAAGUAGAGCGUUCCGCUGAAACCGGCCCUGAAGCGCGCACACACCGCCCGUCACUCUCCCCGAGCUUAAUAGCCCUUAAUACUUAAAACCUAAAAACUGCAAAGGGGAGGCAAGUCGUAACAUGGUAAGUGUACCGGAAGGUGCACUUGGAAAAAU
rnacentral:ncRNA from 1 species